rnacentral:rRNA from 1 species
UCCUACGGGGGGCAGCAGUGAGGAAUAUUGGUCAAUGGGCGCAAGCCUGAACCAGCCAAGUCGCGUGAGGGAAGACGGUCCUAUGGAUUGUAAACCUCUUUUGUCGGGGAGCAAAGCGCGGUACGAGUGCCGUGAAGGAGAGUACCCGAAGAAAAAGCAUCGGCUAACUCCGUGCCAGCAGCCGCGGUAAUACGGAGGAUGCGAGCGUUAUCCGGAUUUAUUGGGUUUAAAGGGUGCGUAGGCGGAUUUUUAAGUCAGCGGUAAAAUGUCCGGGCUCAACCCGGGCCGGCCGUUGAAACUGGGGG